GAUGGACGCUGGCGGCGUGCCUAAUACAUGCAAGUCGAGCGAACAGACGAGGAGCUUGCUCCUUUGACGUUAGCGGCGGACGGGUGAGUAACACGUGGGUAACCUACCUAUAAGACUGGGAUAACUUCGGGAAACCGGAGCUAAUACCGGAUAAUAUUUCGAACCGCAUGGUUCGAUAGUGAAAGAUGGCUUUGCUAUCACUUAUAGAUGGACCUGCGCCGUAUUAGCUAGUUGGUAAGGUAACGGCUUACCAAGGCAACGAUACGUAGCCGACCUGAGAGGGUGAUCGGCCACACUGGAACUGAGACACGGUCCAGACUCCUACGGGAGGCAGCAGUAGGGAAUCUUCCGCAAUGGGCGAAAGCCUGACGGAGCAACGCCGCGUGAGUGAUGAAGGUCUUCGGAUCGUAAAACUCUGUUAUUAGGGAAGAACAAACGUGUAAGUAACUGUGCACGUCUUGACGGUACCUAAUCAGAAAGCCACGGCUAACUACGUG
rnacentral:rRNA from 1 species